UCGUCUGAGAGUUUGAUCCUAGCUCAGGACGAACGCUGGCGGCGCGCCUAACGCAUGCAAGUCGAACGGGUCGGUCCGGGUUCGCCUGGGCCGGCAAGUGGCGGACGGCUGAGUAACGCGUGAGCAACCUACCCACUGGCGGGGGACAACCCGGAGAAAUCCGGGCUAAUACCGCAUGUGACCCUUCGGCGCAGGCUGAAGGGUGAAAGCCUUCGGGCGCCAGUGGAGGGGCUUACGUCCCAUCAGGUAGUUGGCGGGGUAACGGCCCACCAAGCCGACGACGGGUAGCCGGUGUGAGAGCACGACCGGCCAGAGGGGGACUGAGACACGGCCCCCACUCCUACGGGAGGCAGCAG
rnacentral:rRNA from 1 species